AUUGAACGCUGGCGGCAGGCCUAACACAUGCAAGUCGAACGAGUGGCGGACGGGUGAGUAAUGUCUGGGAAACUGCCCGAUGGAGGGGGAUAACUACUGGAAACGGUAGCUAAUACCGCAUACCCUCGGAUGUGCCCAGAUGGGAUAAGCUAGUAGGUGGGGUAACGGCUCACCUAGGCGACGAUCCCUAGCUGGUCUGAGAGGAUGACCAGCCACACUGGAACUGGGACACGGUCCGGACUCCUACGGGGGGCAGCAUUGGGGAAUAUUGCACAAUGGUCGCAAGCCUGAUGCAGCCAUGCCGCGUGUAUGAAGAAGGCCUUCGGGUUGUAAAGUACUUUCAUCGAGGAGGCGUUACUCGAAGAAGAAGCACCGGCUAACUCCGUGCCAGCCGCCGCGGUAAUUC
rnacentral:rRNA from 1 species